UACGAAGGGGGCUAGCGUUGCUCGGAAUCACUGGGCGUAAAGCGCACGUAGGCGGCUUUUUAAGUCAGGGGUGAAAUCCUGGAGCUCAACUCCAGAACUGCCUUCGAUACUGGAAGACUUGAGUCCGGGAGAGGUGAGUGGAACUGCGAGUGUAGAGGUGAAAUUCGUAGAUAUUCGCAAGAACACCAGUGGCGAAGGCGGCUCACUGGCCCGGUACUGACGCUGAGGUGCGAAAGCGUGGGGAGCAAACAGG
rnacentral:rRNA from 1 species